rnacentral:rRNA from 1 species
GUCCAGACUCCUACGGGAGGCAGCAGUGGGGAAUAUUGCACAAUGGGGGAAACCCUGAUGCAGCGACGCCGUGUGAGCGAUGAAGUAUUUCGGUAUGUAAAGCUCUAUCAGCAGGGAAGAAGAUGACGGUACCUGACUAAGAAGCCCCGGCUAACUACGUGCCAGCAGCAGCGGUAAUACGUAGGGGGCAAGCGUUAUCCGGAUUUACUGGGUGUAAAGGGAGCGUAGACGGCGAUGCAAGCCAGAUGUGAAAGCCCGGGGCUCAACCCCGGGACUGCAUUUGGAACUGUGUGGCUGGAGUGUCGGAGAGGCAGGCGGAAUUCCUAGUGUAGCGGUGAAAUGCGUAGAUAUUAGGAGGAACACCAGUGGCGAAGGCGGCCUGCUGGACGAUGACUGACGUUGAGGCUCGAAAGCGUGGGGAGCAAACAGGAUUAGAUACCCGUGUACAC